CCUACGUGAGGCUGCAGUGGGGAAUAUUGCGCAAUGGGCGAAAGCCUGACGCAGCGACGCCGCGUGAGGGAUGAAGGUCUUCGGAUCGUAAACCUCUGUCAGCAGGGAAGAACGGUCACUGUGCUAAUCAGCAGUGAAUUGACGGUACCUGCAAAGGAAGCACCGGCUAACUCCGUUCCAGCCGCCGCGGUACUACGGAGGGUGCGAGCGUUAAGCGGAAUUACUGGGCGUAAAGCGCUCGUAGGCGGUAUGUCAAGUCAAGGGUGAAAUCCCCGCGCUCAACGUGGGAACUUCCUUUGAAACUGGCAAACUGGAGUGUGUGAGAGGAUAGUGGAAUUCCAGGUGUAGGAGUGAAAUCCGUAGAUAUCUGGAGGAACAUCAGUGGCGAAGGCGACUAUCUGGCACAUAACUGACGCUGAGGAGCGAAAGCGUGGGUAGCAAACAGGAUUAGAUACCCUUGUAGUC
rnacentral:rRNA from 1 species